rnacentral:tRNA from 1 species
GCCUGGGUGGCUCAGUCGGUUGAGCGCCUGACUUCGGCUCAGGUCAUGAUCUCUAGGUCUGUGAGUUCAAGCCCGGCUUCAGGCU